rnacentral:sRNA from 1 species
CUUUAGUUUUCUGUUGCUUUGCUCUCUCUGUAUAUACUUGUCCUGGGCUAUCACUUGUACACCCUGGCUUUGUUUGCCAUCCAAAUUCCCAGUUUGCUCUCUCCUAAGCUCCAGACUGUAUCCAAGUACUUCUUUUCUUUCAUUCAUUCAUUCAUUGAGCAUUUACUACAUGCCUCUGCUGGGCUAAUGCUGUGGAUAUAACAGUUAAGGAGGCAGACUGUCCUGAUAAAAUAGCUGGCUGGGCAUGGUGGCUAACUCCUGUAAUCCUAGCACUUCGGGAGGCCGAGGCGGGAGGAUUGCUUGAGCCCAGGAGUUUAAGACCAGCCUGAGCAACAUGGCGAAACCUCAUCUUUACAAAAAAAAAAAAAAAAAAAAAAAUUAGCCAAGCGUGGUGGCACAUGCCUGUAGUCCCAGCUGCUCAGGAGGCUGAAAUGGGCGGAUCAUCUGAGCCCCACAGGCGGAAGUUGCAGUGAGACGAGAUCAUGCCACUGCACUCCAGCCUGGGUGACAGAGUGAGACCUUGUGUUAAAAAAAAAAAAAAGAUAAAAUAGCUAAGAUUCACCGAGGGCCUCCUGCAUGCCUUGCUAAGAGUCUGACAUGUGUUCACUCACUAACCUCACUGCCCUGGGGCUCCCGGGCCUGCCCGUACCCUCCUGUGCUCCAGUUGUCCCCUUUGUAUGAUACAGGGUUUAUCUGUUUAACAGCACUGCUGUGUGACAGGCCCUAUUUUACAGAGGAGAAAACUGAGACACAGAGAGGUAAGGUACCUUGGCUGAGGUUAUGUGGUUGGUUAGUGCUGGAGCUGGGAUUGAACCGGGGUGGUCUUCAAAAACAAACAAGAAACACAUAAAAGAACCAAAUAGGCCGGGCACGGUGGCUCACGCCUGUAAUCCCAGCACUUUGGGAGGCCAAAGUGGGUGGAUCACCUGAGGUCAGGAGUUCGAGACUGACCUGGCCAACAUGGCGAAACCCAGUCUCUACUAAAAAUACCAAAAUUAGCAGGGCAUGCUGGCGGGCACCUGUAAUCCCAGCUACUCAGGAGGCUGAGGCAGGAGAAUUGCUUGAACCGGGAGGCAGAGGUUACAGUGGGCCAAGAUCACACCACUGCUCUCCAGCCCUCUAGGCGACAGAGGGAGACUCCAUCUCAAAAAUAUAUAAAUAAAUAAAAUAAAAGAACCAAAUAACCAGGCAUGGUAGCUGAUGCCUGUGAUCCCAGCACUUUGGGAGGCUGAGGCGGGUGGGUCACUUGAACCCAGGAGUUCAAGACCAGCCUGGGCAGCAUAGGGAGACCCUGUCUCUACAAAAAUUCCAAAAUUUAGCCUGGCCUGGUAGGAGCUGAGGUAGGAAGAUCAUCUGAGCCCAGGAGGUCAAGGUUGCGGUGAGCUGAGAUUGCGCCACUGCACUCCAGCCUGGGUAACAGAGCGAGACCCUGUCUCAAGAAAAACAAAAACAAACAAAAAGCCCCCAAAUAACAUGGAUGGUGACAGGCGCCAUGAAAGGCUGACAUGGGAGUGAGACAUAGGCAGUGGCUGGCAGGGGGCGGGCGGGGAUGGGGGUUAGGGAGGAGGAGGUGUCUGCUGGGCUGAGUGCGUCAUGUCCCCUCCACACACGCCACCAAACUCCCACUGCUCCGAGCCGCACUCCGUCCCUGCUCCCCAGCCUAGGGGCUGUGCUGGGGCCUAACCCUUUGUGAGCUCUCCUCAGUCCCGGUCAAGUGGACCUCCUCCCUCCCUCUCCACGGCCCUUGCCCUUGUCCAGGCCACCAUCACCAUCACCAACACCAUCCUUGCCAGCCUGGAGUCCCCUCUCUUCAUUCUGUGGGGCUAAUGGGGGUGGCUGUGUGGCGAGCCUCUGGGGUCUACCAUUGGGGAGGUCUGCAUGGCUGAGGUUGGGGGUUCUCUGGGAACCUGUGGCCAAGGGUCUCUGGUCACAGUGCUGAGGUGGGGCUGGCUUUUCCACAGUGGAGUCCAUUGAUGAUUACGUGAACGUUCCGGAGAGCGGGGAGAGCGCAGAAGCGUCUCUGGAUGGCAGCCGGGAGUAUGUGAAUGUGUCCCAGGAACUGCAUCCUGGAGCGGCUAAGACUGAGCCUGCCGCCCUGAGUUCCCAGGAGGCAGAGGAAGUGGAGGAAGAGGGGGCUCCAGAUUACGAGAAUCUGCAGGAGCUGAACUGAGGGCCUGUGGAGGCCGAGUCUGUCCUGGAACCAGGCUUGCCUGGGACGGCUGAGCUGGGCAGCUGGAAGUGGCUCUGGGGUCCUCACAUGGCGUCCUGCCCUUGCUCCAGCAUGACAACAGCCUGAGAAAUCCCCCCGUAACUUAUUAUCACUUUGGGGUUCGGCCUGUGUCCCCCGAACACUCUGCACCUUCUGACGCAGGCUGAGAAUGACCUGCCCUGGCCCCAGCCCUACUCUGUGUAAUAGAAUAAAGGCCUGCGUGUGUCUGUGUUG